AACGAACGCUGGCGGCAUGCCUAACACAUGCAAGUCGAACGAGACCUUCGGGUCUAGCGGCGCACGGGUGCGUAACGCGUGGGAACCUGCCCUUAGGUUCGGAAUAACUCCCCGAAAGGGGUGCUAAUACCGGAUAAUGUCUUCGGACCAAAGAUUUAUCGCCUUUGGAUGGGCCCGCGUUGGAUUAGCUAGUUGGUAGGGAAAAAGCCUACCAAGGCGACGAUCCAUAGCUGGUCUGAGAGGAUGAUCAGCCACACUGGGACUGAGACACGGCCCAGACUCCCACGGGAGGCAGCAGUGGGGAAUAUUGGACAAUGGGCGAAAGCCUGAUCCAGCAAUGCCGGGUGAGUGAUGAAGGCCUUGGGGUUGAAAAGCUCUUUUACCCGGGAUGAUAAUGACAGUACCGGGAGAAUAAGCCCCGGCAAACUCCGU
rnacentral:rRNA from 1 species